rnacentral:rRNA from 1 species
UACGUAGGUGGCAAGCGUUGUCCGGAAUUACUGGGCGUAAAGGGUGUGUAGGCGGAUAUUUAAGUGAGAUGUGAAAGACCCGGGCUUAACUUGGGCAGUGCAUUUCAAACUGGGUAUCUAGAGUACAGGAGAGGAGAAUGGAAUUCCUAGUGUAGCGGUGAAAUGCGUAGAGAUUAGGAAGAACACCAGUGGCGAAGGCGAUUCUCUGGACUGUAACUGACGCUGAGGCACGAAAGCGUGGGUAGCAAACAGG